GCCACUGUAGCUCAGUGGCAGAGCACUGGUUUUGUAAACCAGGGGUCGUGAGUUUAAUCCUCACAGGAGGCA
rnacentral:tRNA from 1 species